CAGCCGCCACGGUAAUACGAAGGGGGCUAGCGUUGUUCGGAAUUACUGGGCGUAAAGCGCACGUAGGCGGAUAUUUAAGUCAGGGGUGAAAUCCCAGAGCUCAACUCUGGAACUGCCUUUGAUACUGGGUAUCUUGAGUAUGGAAGAGGUGAGUGGAAUUCCGAGUGUAGAGGUGAAAUUCGUAGAUAUUCGGAGGAACACCAGUGGCGAAGGCGGCUCACUGGUCCAUUACUGACGCUGAGGUGCGAAAGCGUGGGGAGCAAACAGGAUUAGAUACCCGGGUAGUCCCUGUCUCUUAUAA
rnacentral:rRNA from 1 species